UACGUAGGUGGCAAGCGUUGUUCGGAAUUACUGGGCGUAAAGCGUGCGUAGGUGGUUUGUUAAGUCUGCUGUGAAAUCCCCGGGCUCAACCUGGGAAUGGCAGUGGAUACUGGCAAGCUAGAGUGCGGUAGAGGGUAGUGGAAUUCCCGGUGUAGCGGUGAAAUGCGUAGAGAUCGGGAGGAACACCAGUGGCGAAGGCGGCUACCUGGACCAGCACUGACACUCAGGCACGAAAGCGUGGGGAGCAGACAGG
rnacentral:rRNA from 1 species